AGGGUUAUAGUUAAUAAUAAUAUUUGAUUUGCAAUCAAAAGGUAUUCUUAUACAAAGAAUUAAUCUUA